ensembl:lncRNA
CAUAUCAUUUGCAUUUACAGUGUAAAGCUGUUAUUAAAGGCAGGNACUGCAGCAAUAUCAUGCCCUUCCCUAAGUUUAACAUAUCAUUUGCAUUUACAGUGUAAAGCUGUUAUUAAAGGCAGGGUAUUUUUGCAAGUGCCAAUGUUGUAUCUUCUGUCUCCUUUCUCUUGUAGUGGCACAGCAUUUAAGAACCUGCUGCUCGGCCACCUGUUCAUGUUUAGUGCUGUGAGAACCACGUUCCUGUCAUCAGCAAAUUUCUUUUUUCAGUUGUAAUAUCAUUUCAACCUCAUCUCGGAUGGUGGUGCUCAGAAAGAGCAUAGAGCUGGGCACCAGCAUCCAGGAAAGGGGCGGUGCAUCCCCACCCCAAGAUCAUGCAAGUUCUUCCUGUUGAUAAAAACAUCUCUAGGGAAGGACAACUUCUGGCUCUCACCUUUAGGGCAUGGGAUUUUCAGUUUGCCCAUUUUAACAUGCGUGUGGUCAAAGCUCUGGGGCUCCCCUCUGGAUCACAAAUAGCCAUUGCGUCAAGCAAACUCCUAGGCGGCUGGUUAGCUUGAGAGCAUCCUGAUGAAGACAUGGAGUAUUUCCUGCAGAAGAUCCUUUCUACCCACCUGCAGUCAAUUCCAGCAGUGGUUUCAACUACACGAAGGAUGGUGAGAAAGAUAAAAUGGUUUGUUUCAUUGCCAAAUGAUUCAUUUGGGGUGACUGGGAGACCCUGUGCAAUGGUCUUGGGUUUAUUGCAGAAAAAAAAAAAAAAAAAGUCGGUGAAAAACUAGAAUCCAGGACACGAACUACAAAAGAUAGACCAGAGAGUCUCCUGUUCUUGAGGUCUAAUCUAUGCACAUCUCUGCCAUUAGCAGGAGGAAAGGACUAGAAAAAGAGAGAGAGGAAGGGAAGGAAAAAGUGAAGCGGAUAAGAACUGGACAAAGUCAAAGAGAGGAGACACUUCUGCACUGGCCUGGAUAUUAAUACUCACUUAAUAUUCAGUGCUCUAACAAAUGCUGAAGACCAGUGAUUAAAUGCAACAAGAAUCUCGAGUCUGGCACUCCAAAGAGGGAGGAAAGGGAUAGGAAAAUGAAUCUAAUCAACAUUUAUGCCUCCGCCAUGCUGGGCUAUCACAGAAAGGUUCUGGUCCUGUGAAGGCUCUGAGGCCACCAUGAAGGAGACAUGGGGCUUUCAGCCACCGGGAUUAUGAUACUGGAUUAAGGAGGGGAGAUAAGGGUGUUCCCAAACAAGGAAGCAGAGAACUACUCUGGGGCGAAGGACUUGGUCAGGGUCAUAGGAACUUAGAAAUUUUAAGUUUAAGUGAAUCAAGUCUUUAAUGACCAGAUAACACCCAUGCUGUUUAAACCAUUCAAGAAGAGAGAAGAGAGAAGUGUAGGAGAAGCAAAGCCUCCCAAUUAUUUUAUAAGUAUAAACACUGAUGACAAAAUCUAUCAACGAUAGCACAACAAAAAGAUAUACGAAUACAAGCAUCUGAGAUGAAAUGUUUUCAACCAGAAUCCAGCGGAACUUUACAAGAAUAGACUGGGGCACCUGGUUGGCUCAGUUGGUGGAGUGUGCAACUCUUGAUGUUGGGGUUGUGAGUUCGAGCCCCACGUUGGGUGUAGAGAUGGCUUAAAUUAAUAAAACUUGGAAAAAAAAAAGAGACUUCAUUUUGGGAAGGCAAAAGUAGUUCUACCCUAGGAUAUCUAGUAAUAUAAUUCCCCAUAUUUCUCAGAGGAGUAAAAGCAUUUAGUCAUUUCCACUGGUGCUAAUAAAAAGAAUUUGUAACAUAUAUUUGUAACAUACGUUCAUUAUUUUCUAAAGUAUCCUUAAUAAAAUAGGAAU